rnacentral:tRNA from 1 species
UCCCAGGUGGCUGAGUGGUAAAGAAUCUGCCUGCCAAAGCAAGGAGCUGCAGGAGACGCAGGUUUGAUCCCUGGAUUGGGAA